GACGAACGCUGGCGGCGUGCCUAAUACAUGCAAGUCGAGGGACCGGCGCACGGGUGCGUAACGCGUAUGCAACUUGCCUCACAGAGGGGGAUAACCCGUCGCAAGACGGACUAAUACCGCGUACUGUGAGAUAGGCAUGCGUUCCAUUAGCUAGUUGGUGAGGUAACGGCUCACCAAGGCAACGAUGGGUAGGGGAACUGAGAGGUUGAAACCCCACACUGGUAAUAAGACACGGACCAGAAGCCUACGGAGGUGAGGAGUGAGUAAUAUUGGGCGAGGAGGGCGAGCCUGAACCAGCCAAGUCGCGUGAGGAAUGACUGGCUAUUGAUUGUAAACUUCUUUGGUGGAAGAAUAGUUACCCUACGAAUAAGCAUCGGCUAACUCCGUGCCAGCAGCCGUGGUAAUAC
rnacentral:rRNA from 1 species